rnacentral:rRNA from 1 species
GAUGAACGCUGGCGGCGUGCCUAACACAUGCAAGUCGAACGGACAGACGAUGAGCUUGUGCCUCUAACGUUAGCGGCUGACGGGCGAGUAACGCGUGCAUCACCUACUUAUAUUUCUGGGAGAAUUUCGGAAAACCGGAUCCAAUACUAGAGCAUAUGUUGAACCGCAGGGUUCAAUGGUGAAUCACGGCUUUCGUGUCUCUAUUAGAUGGUUCCGUGCUGUAUUAGCUAGUUGGUAAGGUAACAGCUUACCAAGGCGACGAUGCGUAGCCGAGCUGAGAGGAUGAUCGGCCACACUGGAACUGAGACACGGUCCAGACUCCUACGGGAGGCAGCAGUAGGGAAUAUUCGGCAAUGGGCGAAAGCCUGACGCAGCCAUGCCGCGUGAGUGAAGAAGGCCUUCGGAUCGUAAAGCCCUGUUAUUGGGGAAGAACAGCUGUAUAAUAAUACCUCGCUGUAUUGACGGUACCCAAUCAAAAAGCACCGGCUAACUACGUG